UACGGGGGGAGCAAGCGUUGUUCGGAUUUACUGGGCGUAAAGGGCGCGUAGGCGGCCACCGCAAGUCGACUGUGAAAUCUCCGGGCUUAACUCGGAAAGGUCAGCCGAUACUGCGGGGCUAGAGUGCAGAAGGGGCAACUGGAAUUCUUGGUGUAGCGGUGAAAUGCGUAGAUAUCAAGAGGAACACCUGCGGCGAAGGCGGGUUGCUGGGCUGACACUGACGCUGAAGCGCGAAAGCCAGGGGAGCGAACGGG
rnacentral:rRNA from 1 species